AGACAUUUGUUCUUGACCCUCAGCUAGGUUAAGGAUGCUAUUUUCAAUAACAUAGGCCAAAUGACGGAUAUUGUCUACUGCAGAUGUUGUGUUCUGCCAAUUGUCAAAUAAAAUGUGUUGAUAUAAUAUGCUUGAUUUUUUAUUUCCCCGUGGGUAAUAAUAAUUAAAAGUUACAAAUAAAGAACAAUAAAAACUAGUACAAACCUGCAUCUCUGGCCUCAUUAUAAGCACAGUCCUCCCAUAUCGGUCAUGAAAAUUUGCUCUGAAGACU
rnacentral:misc_RNA from 1 species